UAUCACUUAGCGAGGAUGUUUCCAUGUCUUUGGAACUAAGGCUGCAAAUUCAUUUAAAAUGUGAGCCUUUUCUCUCUUCUCUUUUCCCCCGUUUCCUGCUUCCCUCGUCCAGGGCUCGGCAGGUCCUGUCGGCAGCCUUACUUCUUCCUAGCUGAGCUGAAGGUCGGUGGUACAGCUGCAGCUUCUGGGCCAUGUGGGUGGAGCUGCUCCUCAUUCUGCUGUGUCCUGGCCACUGCUCGCCUAGUCACGCCACAUUCGCUCUGCCUUUAGCAAAGAGGGACUUUUCCGUGCUCUCUUGUCAGGAGUGGAAGACCCACCAACCCCAGGUCAGCCUCCCGCUGGCCCCGCUCCUGCCUCCUGGAAGCUGGGAGCCUACAGUCUAAUCAGCAGGAAGAGAACAGGACUGCUGACUAAAGAAAUCCUUAUCAAAGGCGCCAUCUUAGUCACUUUCCUCGUUGCUGCGACAAAACACUUGACACCAGCCAUUUAAAGGAGAACUUCAGAAGGAUCCUUGAAACAAGCCCAUGGCCUCCCAGACUCUGUUCUAGAGGCUGAGAAGUCUACAAGCCUGGCACUGGCAUCUGUCAAAGGUCUCUGGGCUGCAUCAGAACAUGGUGAAGAGCAAGAGAGGAUCUGCAAGAUGGAGAGGAAACGGGCCAAACUCAAUCAUUUCUAGGAGCCUACUCCCGCUCCACUUUCUCCAAGGCUCUGCCUCUCUCCCCACCCCCAUACUGGGAUCGAACGCAGGUCCUGGAACUUGCAAGGCAGGCAGCAGAACCACUGAGCUAAAUCCUCAGCCUUAAGGCCCUGCCUCUUAACUCACAAUGACAAGUGAACUUCAUCUUGAGUUUUGGAGGGACGGUCAGACCAUAGCAAUCAUAAAAGGGACAGGCAGGUGAUGGUACCAGCUUAGUCACAGCAGUCAGGGGAGCUCUCUAAUGAGGCAGCACAUGGGCAAAGAGCCAGAGGAGGUGGAUGACAGUCACAGCCUGUGUGGAUAAGGCCUCCCAGGUCCUGCAGAUCUUGGCUUUGAUCUUCACCUCCAUUCUGCUGGAUGGUAGGUAAGCUUCCAUGAUCUUGGCUUAUGGAUAAGAAGCAGGGUUUCAGAGGAGUGAUCUGACAUGAAGGAGAGUCUAAAGCCAGGAUGUCCAACAGAGUCCAGAGUUCCCUAUGUAGAACCAACAGGUUUUGUCCCAGAGCCUUGGUCUCUGGAGAUCCAAAGCUCACAAUGACACAGCACUUAAACUGCCUCUUCCUCUGCCCUCCACAAGCUGCCUAGCAUCCUGACAAGACUCCUGGGACUCUAAAUGCUAGCCCCUGGGUGUGAAUCUCAAGUCUGCUCUUAGUAGCUGUGUAUGACUUCAGGUAAGCUGCUUGACCUCUCUGGUAAGCUGCUUCCUCAUGUGUAAAGUGGGGCUUUCACAGAAACUACUCUGAGAGCUGAAG